rnacentral:rRNA from 1 species
GACGAACGCUGGCGGCGUGCCUAAUACAUGCAAGUAGAACGCUGAAGGAAGGAGCUUGCUCUUUCUGGAUGAGUUGCGAACGGGUGAGCAACGCGUAGGUAACCUGCCUGGUAGCGGGGGAUAACUAUUGGAAACGAUAGCUAAUACCGCAUAAAAUUGAUUAUUGCAUGAUAGUCAAUUAAAAGGUGCAACUGCACCACUACCAGAUGGACCUGCGUUGUAUUAGCUAGUUGGUGGGGUAACGGCUCACCAAGGCGACGAUACAUAGCCGACCUGAGAGGGUGAUCGGCCACACUGGGACUGAGACACGGCCCAGACUCCUACGGGAGGCAGCAGUAGGGAAUCUUCGGCAAUGGACGGAAGUCUGACCGAGCAACGCCGCGUGAGUGAAGAAGGUUUUCGGAUCGUAAAGCUCUGUUGUAAGAGAAGAACGAGUGUGAGAGUGGAAAGUUCACAAUGUGACGGUAUCUUACCAGAAAGGGACGGCUAACUACGUG